UGGGGAAUAUUGGGCAAUGGACGCAAGUCUGACCCAGCGACGCCGCGUGAGGGAUGAAGGCCUUCGGGUUGUAAACCUCUUUCAGUAGGGAAGAAGCGAAAGUGACGGUACCUACAAAAGAAGCACCGGCUAACUAUGUGCCAGCAGCCGCGGUAAUACAUAGGGUGCAAGCGUUGUCCGGAUUUAUUGGGCGUAAAGCGUGCGCAGGCGGUUCGGAAAGAAAGGUGUGAGAUCCCAGGGCUUAACCUUGGAACUGCACUUUUAACUCCCGAGCUAGAGUAUGUCAGAGGGGGGUGGAAUUCCGCGUGUAGCAGUGAAAUGCGUAGAUAUGCGGAGGAACACCGAUGGCGAAGGCAAUCCCCUGGGCCUGCACUGACGCUCAUGCGCGAAAGCGUGGGGAGCAAACAGG
rnacentral:rRNA from 1 species